rnacentral:rRNA from 1 species
AGGACGAACGCUGGCGGCGUGCUUAACACAUGCAAGUCGAACGAGGUCCAUUCAGUGGUAACACUGGAGAAGACCGAGUGGCGAACGGGUGAGUAACACGUGAGCAACCUGCCCCGAAGACUGGGAUAACAGCGGGAAACCGCUGCUAAUACUGGAUGCCCCCACCGGGCCGCAUGACCUGGUGAGGAAAUGGACUCCGCUUCGGGAGGGACUCGCGGCCUAUCAGUUUGUUGGUGGGUAACGGCCUACCAAGACGACGACGGGUAGCUGGUCUGAGAGGACGAUCAGCCACACUGGGACUGAGACACGGCCCAGACUCCUACGGGAGGCAGCAGUGGGGAAUCUUGCGCAAUGGGCGAAAGCCUGACGCAGCAACGCCGCGUGAGGGACGAAGGUCUUCGGGUUGUAAACCUCUUUCAGCAGGGACGAUUGUGACGGUACCUGCAGAAGAAGCCCGCAACUACGCGCCAGCAGCCGCGGU